UGUAGCGCAAUGGAUAGCCCGUUGGACUUCUUAUCCAAGGGUCGUAGGUUCGAAUGCCACCUAAA